GCAAUGCAAUCACUUCUCAUCUUAUCGCAAUAUCUGCUUCAAGGCCUUUUCUUACGCGCUCUCUCUCGCUGCAAAUUUCUUUGCGAAGAACACUUCUCCGUUGGAGAUUUCUUUUUCUACUUCUGGCCCAUUCGAAAGCGGAAAGUAUACUUUCUUGUAAGCUGCCCUACUGAUGGAAGAAGGUUUUUCGGUUAGGAAUUUCUGCAGUCUUCACAAAUGACAUCAGCCGUGUUGGAGUAGAUGAAUGGGUGCAUGAGGAGAAGGUAAUGGCACUCAUAGCCCAUCAGACACAGGUUUCCCAUGCGACCUUUUCCUCAACGCCCAUCUCAUGGACCAAAGGAGUGAAGUUGAAACCUUCUGUAGCUCUUUGGUUGGGUGGGAGAUCAGAUGGGUGGACCUCUUUAAAUCACGACCUCCAUUUAAGCCUAAUUAUGAAGGGUUUCUUCCACAGCAUAGGGACCCUUCAUGUUCUUGGACCGGUCAGAAGACCUUUAAAGAUCUUAGCCUUCAAAGGCAGUGCCCAGAAUGAUGAAUCAGGAAGCAGAUCGAGAGGAUAUUAUUUGGCAAAGGAUUCUGUUAAACUCUCUUAUGUACCACAUGAGGGUGAAGACACUGCAGCAGAUUCUCCAGAUGUACAGAAUGUCUAUACUUCAGAAGGAGAUGAGACCGCAGCAGGAUCUGUUGCUAUUCAGAAAUUGUUGAAAAAAUGGUUGAUGAUGUUGCACACACAAUCUUCUAGUCUGGCAACAAAUGGAAUUUUGGGGGUGGCACCAUCUGAGAGGAAACUCUCUGAACAUCAAAGUGAGGGCCAGAAGCGGGAAGCAGUCAAAAUUUUGAAGGCAGCUUGGUGUUGCUUUCUGGGAGUAGAUGCAACAAUAAAGAUCCCACUACUGAUAUUCAUACCUUUGUACCUGGCAGUUAAUAUUGUUUAUGGGCCUGAAGUCUCAAAGGACUUGAAACCUCUGUGGAUCCUUGGGCCACUGAUAAUGGCUCUCUACAUUAAGAUGCUUCGGUGGCUUUGGGCUUUGUACAUCUUCACUUUUAAGCAGGCAAUGGGUGAGGCGAAGAAUUUGCCAACCUACUAUUUGCUAGCUUACAACUAUAUGGCCCAAGGGAAGCUCAAGGAAGACAUACAAACCCGUUUCUGGCAACCUAUGCUCGACAUAAAAAACUUGGACUACAAAACAUUCUCUAAGAGGAGAUUGAAAGAGUUCGAAGAGUGGGUGGCUGAGAAAUACCUGGAUUAUGUAGAGUCAAUAUGGCCAUUCUACUGCAGGACAAUCAGGUUUCUAAAAAAGGCAAAUCUCAUCUAGAUAAUGAGAUUGUGAGGUCGGUGUUCAUUAGCAAUCAGGUUUUUGAAGAGUAAUGAUGCUCAAGAUUGUGACGAAAAGUCUUUGCUAAACAAAGGGAAUGAAUUAGGUGCUCUAAUCAGCAGAGGUUUUUUUUUUUUUUCUUUCUCAAAUUGAAUUGUUUCAGAGAGGAGAUAGAGGUCGGUGUGUCAGAGCUGGAGCCCCAUUUUAGACGGGUGGUUAAGAUCAGUAUUGGACACUGGAAGAAGCAGUCUGCCUGCUUGGGUAAAGUCUAUGGUGUUCUGAGCAUUCUGUGCAUUUUGUUUCUAUUUCUCGGUUAGCAGCAUUUAGUUUGUCAUUAGGACUGCAGGUGGGCUCUGAAUCUGAAGCUUGAUUUGAGAUGUAAAGGGUGAACCUAACCCCUAUCCAGCCUGUAGUUGUGGACUUUGCCGAACCCAUCUGCAAUCUGACAGGUUUCUUCAUUUUUCCGAUAUUUCUUGACCUUUCCUUCCCUUGUAGAAUAUUUUUGCAUACUUUUGCCUAAUCUCUCAAUCCAAUGACCAAAUGUUACACACUGGGAA